UACGGGGGGGGCAAGCGUUGUUCGGAUUCACUGGGCGUAAAGGGUGCGUAGGUGGUGGGGUAAGUCGGAUGUGAAAGCUCGGAGCUCAACUCCGAAAUGGCAUUGGAAACUACCCUGCUAGAGGAUUGGAGGGGGGACUGGAAUACUUGGUGUAGCAGUGAAAUGCGUAGAUAUCAAGUGGAACACCAGUGGCGAAGGCGAGUCCCUGGACAAUACCUGACACUGAGGCACGAAAGCUAGGGGAGCAAACAGG
rnacentral:rRNA from 1 species